rnacentral:miRNA from 1 species
AACGUCUGCGAUGAUACAGUU